rnacentral:rRNA from 1 species
UACGGAAUGUGCAAACGUUAUUCGGAAUCACUGGGCUUAAAGAGUCCGUCGGCGGCAUGUUAGGUGAGGUGUGAAAUCCCCCGGCUCAACCGAGGAAUUGCGCUUCAAACCGGCGUGCUUGAGGAAGAUAGAGGUGGGCGGAACUGAUGGUGGAGCGGUGAAAUGCGUUGAUAUCAUCAGGAACACCGGAGGCGAAGGCGGCCCACUGGGUCUUUUCUGACGCUGAGGGACGAAAGCUAGGGGAGCGAACGGG